CCAGUAAAAAAAAAAAAAAAAAAACACUAACGACACCUAAAAUCUCUAAUGAUUUCUAUAGUUUUUUCGACCGGAAUAGUUAUUUUUGUCAUUUAACAGAAAACUUUUGUAUCAUCAAUUCGAAACCAAUACUAUAAAAAUAAACACAACAUUUGAUAAUAUAUAAUGUAACACGUGAUUCGAUAUUAUGACACUUAAUUUUUUUUUUUUUUCGACCCUCGACAUAAUAACUUUACAACUGUGCAACGGGCAUUGUUAUUCGCGAGAACGUACAAAAGACCUAUAACCGCUCUUAAGGCCCACGCUGCACCGCGUGAAAAGAAAAUACAAAAGGCCGUUAUAGUAAUUUGCUCGAACGUUUUCACUUCCGUCUCUUAUACAAUGGAAUUUAAUUUAGCACUUGACGCGUGUGACGUUUUGGCUGCAGUGUAACGUUAUAACAUUAUAAUUUUUAUCCCUUCGCCGGUUUCUUCAAAAAAGAAAGUCGAUUUUUUUUUUUUUUUUUUUACUUAGAUUCUGAGCGGAAUAACAAAUGUAUUAGUUAUACUGUGAUUUUUGCUUCAAUAUUUACGAAUAACCUUCAUUGUUAAAUGAAAAUUAUCUCAAACCCUUGUGGACACAUUAAGACACACUAAGAGUAGCACAUUUGUUGAACGAAAAUAUUGUCUUUUUGGUGCAUGAAAAACGUAUAUUUUGAUUUUGUUUUAAAUAAUAAUUAGACAAAUUCGGGGGAAAAUCGUGUGAAAAACGUUUUUGGAGAAAUUUCCCAGUAUCCGCAGUACUUAUUUUGAACGCAUUCACCUAUAACAUUAUUUUAGGUACAUAAACGCCCAACCUUGUUUAUAAUUAUCCUGAAUGCAUUUACUUUUCGAUUUUUUUUUUUCGAUUAGUCCAAAUUUCAUUAUUUAAAAUCAUCCAGCAAUUUCAUUUUGCAUUAAUUUUUUUUUUUUUUAUUUUAGAUUACAUGUCCCACAAAGAAUUUAUUAGGUUUACUAAGGUUUUUUUCUCGAAAUC